CAAGAGGUGUCACCAACUGUCUUUAGUGCAAAUGUCAAAGGAUUUAGUAGUUGAUACUCGGGAUCUCAAGUUUGAAACUUAAUUGCUUCACAUUUUUAGCUAAAUUUAUUUCUAAACAAAUAAACGAAGCGGAGGUGGGCAACAGAGGGCUCGGGCCGAUAGACCCAUGGUACGGAUCUGACCCAUUAAAACGAAUCCGUUAAGAAAUUUUUUUCUCCUCUUUUGCCCUAAACAUGAUGAAGCGUAUUGUAAUCUCCAAAACUUCGUAUUCUUUUUCUCAUAGUGAAGUUCUCUCCUCAGCUCAUGAUUUUUUCCUUGUAAAUGAUUUUCACGUAAAUCUGUGUGUUAAUUUUAUUUUCUGUUUGUGGUUUGUGGUCUGUCUACUUUAUGUUCUUAUUUUUAUUUCUGUUUGUUUGUUCGUUGCAACAAUUUCUAGUAACAAGUUUUUUUUUUUUUUUUGAAGCAUGUUUGAAGUUAAUCAUUGUUAUUGGCGCUAUAAUGUUAUCUUAUGUGUUGUUGAUAUAUUGGCAACUUUGUGUGAUAUAUCGAGCUGCAUGUAUAGUCCAUUGCAAUCCUUUAUGUCAUAAUUGUCAACAUACCAAUAACAU
rnacentral:lncRNA from 1 species